rnacentral:tRNA from 1 species
GGAGUCUUAGCUCAGCUGGGAGAGCAUCUGCCUUACAAGCAGAGGGUCAUAGGUUCGAGCCCUAUAGGCUCCA